UAAUACGUAGGGUGCGAGCGUUAAUCGGAAUUACUGGGCGUAAAGGGUGCGCAGGCGGUUUGCUAAGUCAGAUGUGAAAUACCCGGGCUCAACCUGGGAGGUGCAUUUGAGACUGGUAGGCUAGAGUGUGUCAGAGGGGGGUAGAAUUCCACGUGUAGCAGUGAAAUGCGUAGAUAUGUGGAGGAAUACCGAUGGCGAAGGCAGCCUCCUGGGAUAACACUGACGCUCAGGCACGAAAGCGUGGGGAGCAAACAGGAUUAGAUACCCUGGUAGUCCACGCCCUAAACGAUGUCAACUAGUUGUUGGGACUAACUAGGUCUUGGUAACGCAGCUAACGCGGGAAGUUGACCGCCUGGGGAGUACGGUCGCAAGAUUA
rnacentral:rRNA from 1 species